CACCAUGCAGUCUGCAUUCAUAAUCUAGGCUGCUUGAUUUUAUACACCUGUGUAAAGGGACCAGAUAAAACCCAUGAAUAGAUACUAAAACAAUGUGAGGGA